rnacentral:rRNA from 1 species
UACGUAGGGGGCAAGCGUUGUCCGGAAUCAUUGGGCGUAAAGAGCGCGUAGGCGGCCCAGUAAGUCCGCUCUGAAAGUCAGAGGCUCAACCUCUGAAUGCGGGUGGAUACUGCUGGGCUAGAGUCCGGAAGAGGCGAGUGGAAUCCUGGUGUAGCGGUGAAAUGCGCAGAUAUCAGGAGGAACACCGAUGGCGAAGGCAGCUCGCUGGAACGUAACUGACGCUGAGACGCGAAAGCGUGGGGAGCAAACAGG